AGUGAACGCUGGCGGUAGGCCUAACACAUGCAAGUCGAACGGCAGCACAGUAAGAGCUUGCUCUUACGGGUGGCGAGUGGCGGACGGGUGAGGAAUACAUCGGAAUCUACUUUUUCGUGGGGGAUAACGUAGGGAAACUUACGCUAAUACCGCAUACGACCUACGGGUGAAAGCAGGGGAUCUUCGGACCUUGCGCGAUUGAAUGAGCCGAUGUCGGAUUAGCUAGUUGGCGGGGUAAAGGCCCACCAAGGCGACGAUCCGUAGCUGGUCUGAGAGGAUGAUCAGCCACACUGGUACUGAGACACGGUCCAGACUCCUACGGGAGGCAGCAGUGGGGAAUAUUGGACAAUGGGCGCAAGCCUGAUCCAGCCAUACCGCGUGGGUGAAGAAGGCCUUCGGGUUGUAAAGCCCUCUUGUUGGGAAAGAAAAGCAGCAGGUUAAUACCCCGCUGUUCUGACGGUACCCAAAGAAUAAGCACCGGCUAACUUCGUG
rnacentral:rRNA from 1 species